rnacentral:rRNA from 1 species
CUACGGGUCGCAGCAGUGGGGAAUAUUGGACAAUGGGGGAAACCCUGAUCCAGCAAUGCCGCGUGUGUGAAGAAGGCCUGCGGGUUGUAAAGCACUUUCGGUUGGGAGGACUGCUUCUAGCACUAAUAUUGUUGGAAGUUGACGUUACCUUCAGAAGAAGCACCGGCUAACUCCGUGCCAGCAGCCGCGGUAAUACGGAGGGUGCAUGCGUUAAUCGGAAUUACUGGGCGUAAAGCGCGCGUAGGCGGCUAGAUCAGUCGGGUGUGAAAGCCCCGGGCUUAACCUAGGAACUGCAUCCGAUACUGUCUAGCUUGAGUACAGGAGAGGAGAGUGGAAUUCCACGUGUAGCGGUGAAAUGCGUAGAUAUGUGGAGGAACACCAAUGGCGAAGGCAGCUCUCUGGCCUGAUACUGACGCUGAGGUGCGAAAGCGUGGGGAGCAAACAGGAUUAGAUACCCCGGUAGUC